AAUAAGCGGAGGAAAAGAAACUAACAAGGAUUCCCCUAGUAACUGCGAGUGAAGCGGGAAGAGCUCAAAUUUGAAAUCUGGCAGUUCUUGACUGUUCCGAAUUGUAAUCUAGAGAAGUGUUACCUGUGCUGGACCAUGUACAAGUCUCCUGGGAUGGAGCAUCAUAGAGGGUGAGAAUCCUGUCUUUGACAUGGACUACCUGCAUGCUGUGGUACGCUCUCAAAGAGUCGAGUUGUUUGGGAAUGCAGCUCAAAAUGGGUGGUAAAUGCCAUCUAAAGCUAAAUAUUGGCGAGAGACCGAUAGCGAACAAGUACCGUGAGGGAAAGAUGAAAAGAACUUUGGAAAGAGAGUUAAACAGUACGUGAAAUUGCUGAAAGGGAAACGCUUGAAGUCAGUCGCGUCGGCUAGAAAUCAGCCCUUGCUUUUGCUUGGUGUACUUUCUGGUUGAUGGGUCAGCAUCAAUUUUGACCACUGGAUAAAGUCUUUGGGAAUGUGGCAUCUCUUGAUGUGUUAUAGCCCAUUGUCGCAUACGGUGGUUGGGAUUGAGGAACUCAGCACGCCGCAAGGCCGGGUUUCGACCACGUUUCGUGCUUAGGAUGCUGGCAUAAUGGCUUUAAUCGACCCGUCUUGAAACACGGACCAAGGAGUCUAACAUGCCUGCGAGUGUUUGGGUGAAAAACCCAUGCGCGUAAUGAAAGUGAAAGUUGAGAUCCUUCUUCUAGGGGGAGCAUUGACGCCCGGACCAGACCUUCUGUGACGGAUCCGCGGUAGAGCAUGUAUGUUGGGACCCGAAAGAUGGUGAACUAUGCCUGAAUAGGGUGAAGCCAGAGGAAACUCUGGUGGAGGCUCGUAGCGAUUCUGACGUGCAAAUCGAUCGUCAAAUUUGGGUAUAGGGGCGAAAGACUAAUCGAACCAUCUAGUAGCUGGUCC
rnacentral:rRNA from 1 species